CAAUAGUGUUCAUUUUAUAAAAUUACAGACCAGUCUAGGUUUUCUCCAGUGGGGUGUGAAGUCCGCAAAGCUGAAAAUAUAAACUUAAAACACAAAAUACAGUAUCUUACAGUAUCGAUAAGAUUGAGUAAGUUAAGGCACCGUGAGGCACCAUAACAACUUUAUCUAAAUUAAGUUAUUAUAAUGUCAGGAGGUCCUCGGUGCACUCUUACUUCAAGG